UCCUGUAAGAAACAUUUUAGAUCUUCUAAUUGGGCUUGCAUUUUAUCCUCAAUUUUUCCUAUUUUAUCUUCCAUAUUUCCCAUUUUAUCCUCAAUAUUUCCUAUUUUAUUCUCAAUAUUUCCUAUUUUAUCCUCAAGUUUUUCUAUUUUAUUCUCAAUAUUUCCUAUUUUAUCCUCAAUUUUUUCUAUUGUAUCCUCAAUUUUUUCUAUUGUAUCCUCAAUUUUUUCUAUUUUAUCCUCAAUAUUUUCUAUUUUAUCCUCAAUAUUUUCUAUUUUAUCCUCAUUUUUUUCUAUUUUAUCCUCAACAUUUUCUAUUUUAUCCUCAAUAUUUUCUAUUUUAUCCUCAUUUUGUUUUAUUUUAUUCUCAAUAUUUCCUAUUUUAUCCUCAAGUUUUUCUAUUUUAUUCUCAAUAUUUCCUAUUUUAUCCUCAAUUUUUUCUAUUGUAUCCUCAAUUUUUUCUAUUGUAUCCUCAAUUUUUUCUAUUUUAUCCUCAAUAUUUUCUAUUUUAUCCUCAAUAUUUUCUAUUUUAUCCUCAUUUUUUUCUAUUUUAUCCUCAACAUUUUCUAUUUUAUCCUCAAUAUUUUCUAUUUUAUCCUCAUUUUGUUUUAUUUUAUCCUCAUUUUGUUUUAUUUUAUCCUCAUUUUGUUUUAUUUUAUCCUCAUUUUGUUUUAUUUUAUCCUCAAUAUUUUUUAUUUUUUCAUCUCUAAAUAUAGUAUUGAGGAGUACAAAAAUGACAGUACCUAUUAAUAUAAAAAUUUGGAGGUAUCCUUCAUUCCUCAAUGCCCCUACUUCUUCAGCUGCCAUAUAAUUGUCAAAGAAUGUAGUACUCAUUUUUAUAUGUAUAUUUUGUAAUUUCACAAAACACGUGGGGAGCAGGGCAAAGCAACAAACUUUCCACAGGGUUUUUUUUUUUUUUAAUCCAGGAAGUUGUUCCUUAAGGGAAAGGAUAUUUAGAAACAGUUCUUCCAGCCAGGACUUUAGAGUCCUGUUGCUGAGAUUUAAAAACAGCUGUUUUCUGUCUAUCAGAGUCACACAGCUGGGAAGUAUCUGAGGUCCAAUUUGAACCCAGGACCUUCUGCCUCUAGGGCUGGCUCUCAAUCCGCUGAGCUACCCAGCUGUCCCUUAAGAUUAAAGGGAAGAAAAAGAAAAAACUGCUGAUUCCAAUUUAACUUAAGGAGAAAAGAGAAAAAGUUUUUUAUACUCACGUGUUCUAGCAGCUGUGUCUUUAAGCCAAGUUUUUUUUUUUUUUUAAAAGGACUAAGUGGUGAAACAGUAUAGUAAAAAGGCAAGGAAAAAGUUUUAUUGAGAGGAUUCUUUAGACUCCCGUGUGGUCAGCCACAAUGUUACAAGGGAAUCACUUUAAAAGACUGAUAUAUAUUAAUUUAAGGUCGCCAAGGAAUCAGCUAUGUAAUUCCUAAAUGAAAAACUCAAGUCAGCCGUCAGUCUUUUUUGGAGUUUAAUUACAAUAGGAGCAAGAAAGGAAUUAGAGAUAUAUAUAGAGAGAGAAAGGGGAGAGAAGGGAAUAGGGCUUAAAUACCCCUUCUGUUUAGGCUGGGCCAAAAGGCCCAAGCCCUUAGAUAGCUGGGGCAAAGAAAAGAGAUCAGUCCCUAUUACUCACGUGUCCAAAAUGGAGAAACAGUCUCAGAGGCCCCCACCUUCAGCUUCCUUCAGAGCAAGCUUCCUCAGAGCCCAGGAACCACCACGACCAAAAAACUCAACCUCCUCCAGUCUCCAGACCCUCCUAUCUUUCAGGACACCAUCCAAGUUGCCUCCCCUCAGUCCUCACAUCUACCAAUCACUCUUCAUCA
ensembl:lncRNA